UACGUAGGGACCGAGCGUUGUCCGGAUUCAUUGGGCGUAAAGAGCUCGUAGGCGGCCACUCAAGUCGAAUGUGAAAACUCGAGGCUCAACCUCGAGCUGUCGGUGGAAACUGUCUGGCUAGAGUCCGGAAGAGGAGAGUGGAAUUCCUGGUGUAGCGGUGAAAUGCGCAGAUAUCAGGAAGAACACCUAUGGCGAAGGCAGCUCUCUGGGACGGUACUGACGCUGAGACGCGAAAGCGUGGGGAGCGAACAGG
rnacentral:rRNA from 1 species